rnacentral:rRNA from 1 species
UACAGAGGUCCCAAGCGUUGUUCGGAUUCAUUGGGCGUAAAGGGUGCGUAGGCGGCGCGGUAAGUCGGGUGUGAAAUCUCGGAGCUUAACUCCGAAACUGCAUUCGAUACUGCCGUGCUUGAGGACUGGAGAGGAGACUGGAAUUUACGGUGUAGCGGUGAAAUGCGUAGAUAUCGUAAGGAAGACCAGUGGCGAAGGCGGGUCUCUGGGCCGAUACUGACGCUGAGGAGACGAAAGCGUGGGGAGCGAACAGG